AUUGAACGCUGGCGGCAGGCCUAACACAUGCAAGUCGAGCGGUAGCACAGAGAGCUUGCUCUCGGGUGACGAGCGGCGGACGGGUGAGUAAUGUCUGGGAAACUGCCUGAUGGAGGGGGAUAACUACUGGAAACGGUAGCUAAUACCGCAUAACGUCGCAAGACCAAAGAGGGGGACCUUCGGGCCUCUUGCCAUCAGAUGUGCCCAGAUGGGAUUAGCUAGUAGGGGGGGUAACGGCUCACCUAGGCGACGAUCCCUAGCUGGUCUGAGAGGAUGACCAGCCACACUGGAACUGAGACACGGUCCAGACUCCUACGGGAGGCAGCAGUGGGGAAUAUUGCACAAUGGGCGCAAGCCUGAUGCAGCCAUGCCGCGUGUAUGAAGAAGGCCUUCGGGUUGUAAAGUACUUUCAGCGGGGAGGAAGGUGUUGAGGUUAAUAACCUCGGCAAUUGACGUUACCCGCAGAAGAAGCACCGGCUAACUCCGUGCCAGCAGCCGCCGUAAAAC
rnacentral:rRNA from 1 species